rnacentral:rRNA from 1 species
UACGUAGGGUGCGAGCGUUGUCCGGAAUUAUUGGGCGUAAAGAGCUCGUAGGCGGUGUGUCACGUCGGCCGUGAAAACCUGGGGCUUAACUCCGGAUCUGCGGUGGGUACGGGCAGACUAGAGUGAUGUAGGGGAGACUGGAAUUCCUGGUGUAGCGGUGAAAUGCGCAGAUAUCAGGAGGAACACCGAUGGCGAAGGCAGGUCUCUGGGCAUUAACUGACGCUGAGGAGCGAAAGCAUGGGGAGCGAACAGG